AUUGAACGCUGGCGGCAUGCUUUACACAUGCAAGUCGAACGCGAAAGGGGGCAACCCUGAGUAGAGUGGCGCACGGGUGAGUAAUGCAUCGGAACGUGUCCUGUAGCGGGGGAUAACCUAGCGAAAGCUAGGCUAAUACCGCAUACGCCCUGAGGGGGAAAGUGGGGGAUCGCAAGACCUCACACUAUAGGAGCGGCCGAUGCCGGAUUAGCUAGUUGGCGGGGUAACGGCCCACCAAGGCGGCGAUCCGUAGCUGGUCUGAGAGGACGAUCAGCCACACUGGAACUGAGACACGGUCCAGACUCCUACGGGAGGCAGCAGUGGGGAAUAUUGGACAAUGGGGGAAACCCUGAUCCAGCGACGCCGCGUGGGUGAAGAAGGCCUGCGGGUUGUAGAGCCCUUUCGGUAGGGACGAAAGCUCUCGACCUAACACGUCGGGAGGUUGACUUAACCUACAAAAGAAGCACCGGCUAACUCUGUGCCAGCCGCCGCUGUAA
rnacentral:rRNA from 1 species